rnacentral:lncRNA from 1 species
UGCCUAGUCCCUACCACUCUUCUGCCUUAGAACCAAUACACAGUACUGCUUCUAUGACAGAAGAUAAAGGUUUUUUUUUUUAAAGGAAAACAUUCCUUAUGAUUACCAAGGACAAAGAAAAUUCAGAAAGCAGUAGACUAGAUGGUAUCUCUUAUCCAGAUUCCAGACAAAGGACUGGUCUGGUUCACUUCCAAGAUAAGGACACAAGUGUUACAUAAAGGUUCCUCAUCUGGUGAAUGCCAGAAUCCUGCGACCUGCCCUGCUAAUUCAAGAUGCACAGAUACAGGAAAUGAUUACUACUGUACCUGUGAGAUUGGAUUUGAACUGGCUUCUAAAGAGCGCAUCUUCACUGACCCAAAUGAG